rnacentral:tRNA from 1 species
GACAAUUUGGCCGAGUUGGUCUAAGGCGUUCGACUCAAGUUCGAAUCUCGAAAGAGGCGUGGGUUCGAAUCCCACAGUUGUCA